UGGGGAAUAUUGCACAAUGGGCGCAAGCCUGAUGCAGCCAUGCCGCGUGUAUGAAGAAGGCCUUCGGGUUGUAAAGUACUUUCAGCGGGGAGGAAGGGAGUAAAGUUAAUACCUUUGCUCAUUGACGUUACCCGCAGAAGAAGCACCGGCUAACCCCGUGCCAGCAGCCGCGGUAAUACGGAGGGUGCAAGCGUUAAUCGGAAUUACUGGGCGUAAAGCGCACGCAGGCGGUUGAUUGAGUCAGAUGUGAAAUCCCCGGGCUUAACCCGGGAAUUGCAUCUGAUACUGGGCAGCUAGAGUCUUGUAGAGGGGGGUAGAAUUCCAUGUGUGGCGGUGAAAUGCGUAGAGAUGUGGAGGAAUACCGGUGGCGAAGGCGGCCCCCUGGGCAAAGACUGACGCUCAGGUGCGAAAGCGUGGGGAGCAAACAGG
rnacentral:rRNA from 1 species